GAUGAGGGUUUUGGAAAAGAGCAGUGCAGGAGGUGUGGACAGUAGGUCGCCAUUCACCUCCUGGUCCAACAUCUAACACAACAUGAAAGACCCUCACAGUUGGACCAUACUCCAUUGCAUUCAGACAUGACUGCGAUGUACAGCAUGCGCAUGGUGCUAAUGCAUGAACACAUGGUUGCAUACAACACUCAAAAGU